ACACACACACCAGUCUCCGAAUAGCUGUUCUAGGUUGGGGUCUCUGGAAACUGAGCAGGAAGUUUAUUGGAAAUGCUUUCCAUCAGCACCUGUGGGAUGAAGGAAGCCCAUAUGGGCAGAGGGAGAAGUUGAGCUGCUGUGUCACCUCCACAGGGCCUCAGCCGUCCCACAGGGAAUAUUGAAGCUGCAAUGGCCUUCAGCAUUGGGGUCAGGAGGCUAGGCCUUCUAUGCUGGCAUUAACCAGUGACUGGAUGCCAUUGAAGGGCAGCUGCCCUUGAUUCACAUGGGGCGUGACCUUGGACAAGCAGCUCUCUUGAGUUGAGGGCCUCUCCAUAUUGCUGUGGUGCAGGGUAACCUGCCAGCUGUGCACCGGCUGGUCAACCUCUUCCAGCAGGGGGGCCGGGAGCUCGACAUCUACAACAACCUGCGGCAGACACCGCUCCACCUGGCUGUGAUCACCACAUUACCGUCUGUGGUCCGGCUCCUGGUGACAGCUGGUGCCAGCCCCAUGGCGCUGGACCGCCAUGGCCAGACGGCCGCUCACCUGGCGUGCGAGCACCGCAGCCCGACCUGCCUGCGAGCCCU
rnacentral:sRNA from 1 species